GAUGAACGCUAGCUACAGGCUUAACACAUGCAAGUCGAGGGGCAGCAUUUAUAUCCGCUUGCGGUUAUAAGAUGGCGACCGGCGCACGGGUGAGUAACGCGUAUCCAACCUACCCCAUACUCGGGUCCAGCCCUCCGAAAGGAGGAUUAAUCCCCGAUAUUGUUCUUUGCGGGCAUCUAAUGAGAACCAAAGGUAUUCCGGUAUGGGAUGGGGAUGCGUCUGAUUAGGAAGUAGGCGGGGUAACGGCCCACCUAUCCAUCGAUCAGUAGGGGUUCUGAGAGGAAGGUCCCCCACACUGGAACUGAGACACGGUCCAGACUCCUACGGGAGGCAGCAGUGAGGAAUAUUGGUCAAUGGUCGUAAGACUGAACCAGCCAAGUAGCGUGCAGGAUGACGGCCCUAUGGGUUGUAAACUGCUUUUAUGCGGGGAUAAAAUGCGUCACGUGUGAUGUUUUGUAGGUACCGCAUGAAUAAGGACCGGCUAAUUCCGUGCCAGCAGCCGCGGUAAUACGGAAGGUCCGGGCGUUAUCCGGAUUUAUUGGGUUUAAAGGGAGCGUAGGCCGCAUGUUAAGCGUGCCGUGAAAUGCCGUGGCUCAACCAUGGCACUGCGGCGCGAACUGGCUUGCUUGAGUGCGCGGAACGUAUGCGGAAUUCGUGGUGUAGCGGUGAAAUGCUUAGAUAUCACGAAGAACUCCGAUUGCGAAGGCAGCAUACGGCAGCGCUACUGACGCUGAAGCUCGAAGGCGCGGGUAUCGAACAGGAUUAGAUACCCUGGUAGUCCGCGCGGUAAACGAUGGAUGCCCGCUGUUGGCGAUAUAAUGUCAGCGGCCAAGCGAAAGCGUUAAGCAUCCCACCUGGGGAGUACGCCGGCAACGGUGAAACUCAAAGGAAUUGACGGGGGCCCGCACAAGCGGAGGAACAUGUGGUUUAAUUCGAUGAUACGCGAGGAACCUUACCCGGGCUUGAACUGCAGCAGACGGAUCCAGAGAUGGUGACUCCCUUCGGGGCUGCUGUGGAGGUGCUGCAUGGUUGUCGUCAGCUCGUGCCGUGAGGUGUCGGCUUAAGUGCCAUAACGAGCGCAACCCCUGUUCUCAGUUGCCAUCGGUUUUAGCCGGGCACUCUGUGAAGACUGCCUCCGUAAGGAGUGAGGAGGGUGGGGAUGACGUCAAAUCAGCACGGCCCUUACGUCCGGGGCUACACACGUGUUACAAUGGGUGAUACAGAGAGUCGGGGUCCGGCAACGUACCUCUAAUCUAUAAAGUCAUCCUCAGUUCGGACUGGGGUCUGCAACCCGACCCCACGAAGCUGGAUUCGCUAGUAAUCGCGCAUCAGCCAUGGCGCGGUGAAUACGUUCCCGGGCCUUGUACACACCGCCCGUCAAGCCAUGAAAGCCGGGGGCGCCUGAAGUCCGUGACCGCGAGGGUCGGCCUAGGGUGAAACCGGUGAUUGGGGCUAAGUCGUAACAAGGUAGCCGUACCGGAAGGUGCGGCUGGAACACCUCCUUUCUGGAGUGACGUUUCCGUUAUUAUGUCAUUGUUGAUGACAUUCUGUUUCGGUUCGUGUGCCUAUCCGCCUCAUAUCCAUACAUAUGUGUUUAUGAAGGUCUUCUUGUACGUGCUCCUGUCUGUUCUAUUAUAUACGGGAGAAAUCCCACGGGACGGAACGUUUUUGCUUACGUGCAUAUGUUCCUGUUCUUUGCGGGGGAUUAGCUCAGCUGGCUAGAGCACCUGCUUUGCAAGCAGGGGGUCAACGGUUCGAAUCCGUUAUUCUCCACUCCGCUCCGCGCAUUUCUGUCAGAAGACAGUCUGCGCAUGAAAAGGAGCCAUCGUUCUUUGACAUAUUGACACACAAGACAGUAAAGAAACUCAAACAAAACGUCCGGGACGUUUUUCAAAUAAAUCCCGGGCGCCACAGUUAUAAAGUAUGAGCGUCUGCCGAUGUUUCUUAUAUAUAUUAUAUUUAAGAUUCAUUGGUCAGAAUAAAUAGGAAAAGCAAGUCAGGGCGCAUGGUGGAUGCCUUGGCUCACGGAGGCGAUGAAGGACGUGAUAAGCUGCGAUAAGCUCCGGUGAGGUGCAAAUGACCUUUGACCCGGAGAUUUCCGAAUGGGACAACCCAACAGUCUGAAGGACUGUUAUCUCCGCCAAUGCGGAGAAGCUAACCCGGGGAACUGAAACAUCUUAGUACCCGGAGGAAGAGAAAACAAUAGUGAUUCCCCCAGUAGUGGCGAGCGACCGGGGAACAGCCCAAACCAGUCUUGUAGCAAUGCUUGACUGGGGUUGUAGGACCACGCCGUGGUAUCUUAAUUGCGAGCGGAACAUUCUGGAAAGAAUGUCCAUAGAGGGUGACAGACCCGUACGCGAAGCGAGCGAGAGCCUAGUGGUAUCCUGAGUAACGCGGGACACGAGUAAUCCUGCGCGAAUCUGCCGGGCCCAUCCGGUAAGGCUAAAUACUCCCGUGAGACCGAUAGUGAACC
rnacentral:rRNA from 1 species